rnacentral:rRNA from 1 species
UACGUAGGUCCCGAGCGUUGUCCGGAUUUAUUGGGCGUAACGCGAGCGCAGGUGGUUUAUUAAGUCUGGUGUAAAAGGCAGUGGCUCAACCAUUGUAUGCAUUGGAAACUGGUAGACUUGAGUGCAGGAGAGGAGAGUGGAAUUCCAUGUGUAGCGGUGAAAUGCGUAGAUAUAUGGAGGAACACCGGUGGCGAAAGCGGCUCUCUGGCCUGUAACUGACACUGAGGCUCGAAAGCGUGGGGAGCAAACAGG